GGGAAGGAGACGCUGUCUCUCUGGGUUCCGGUAGGGUCUCAGAGAGCCACGGAGCGCUGACCUUGGGUUUUUGGCUUCUCAUAUUUUAUUUGGAGAAUACCGAGCUUCUGCGACAGAACUCUGGUUGGCGCUACAUCUGUGCCACCUGCUGGCCAAACGUAGUUACUGCAAGCAAAAAAUCGACACCUCAAUCAGAGAUGACUGGAGG